GACGAACGCUGGCGGCGUGCCUAAUACAUGCAAGUCGAACGCAGUGGGGACGGGUGAGUAACACGUGGGUAACCUCCCAUCAGAGGGGAUAACAAUUGGCAACAGGUGCUAACCCGAUAUUGUGGGAUGGACCCGCGGUGAAUUAGCUAGGUGGGGAGGUAACGGCUCACCAAGGCAACGAUGCAUAUCGUACCUGAGAGGGUGCUCGGCCACACGGGGACUGAGACACGGCCCAGACUCCUACGGGAGGCAGCAGUAGGGAAUCUGCGGCAAUGGACGAAAGUCUGACCGAGCAACGACGCGUGAGUGAAGAAGGUUUUCGGAUCGUAAAACGCUGUUGUUAGAGAAGCGGUAUCUAACCAGAAAGCCACGGCUAACUACGUGCCAGCCGCCGCGGUAAUAC
rnacentral:rRNA from 1 species